rnacentral:rRNA from 1 species
AUUGAACGCUGGCGGCAGGCCUAACACAUGCAAGUCGAACGGUAGCAGGAAGAAGCUUGCUUCUUUGCUGACGAGUGGCGGACGGGUGAGUAAUGUCUGGGAAACUGCCUGAUGGAGGGGGAUAACUACUGGAAACGGUAGCUAAUACCGCAUAACGUCGCAAGACCAAAGAGGGGGACCUUCGGGCCUCUUGCCAUCGGAUGUGCCCAGAUGGGAUUAGCUAGUAGGUGGGGUAAUGGCUCACCUAGGCGACGAUCCCUAGCUGGUCUGAGAGGAUGACCAGCCACACUGGAACUGAGACACGGUCCAGACUCCUACGGGAGGCAGCAGUGGGGAAUAUUGCACAAUGGGCGCAAGCCUGAUGCAGCCAUGCCGCGUGUAUGAAGAAGGCCUUCGGGUUGUAAAGUACUUUCAGCGGGGAGGAAGGGAGUAAAGUUAAUACCUUUGCUCAUUGACGUUACCCGCAGAAGAAGCACCGGCUAACUCCGU